UACACUGGAACCUCCACUCACUCUUCCAUCAAUAUAAUUGUCGAUUCACAAAUAAAAGCGACGGCUUUAGCCACAUUGCUCCAAAUCGAGGAAAAAACAAAAACUCCUUCAACUCCAGAUCCCAGAGCGUUCAGCAUCCAAGAAAAUAAAAACGGAACAAUCACACAACCCGUCUUUGGACCUCUUUACUGCCACUAGAUUUUCAGCUCCUUCCUCGCAUAGAAGAAAAAACUAAACAACCAGAUCUGAUCACUGCAUCACCGUC
rnacentral:lncRNA from 1 species